CGGACGGGUGAGUAACGCGUGGGUAACCUGCCUCAUAGAGGGGGACAACAGUUGGAAACGACUGCUAAUACCGCGUAGUAAGAAAGAUUCGCAUGUUUCUUUCUUGAAAGAUUUAUCGCUAUGAGAUGGACCCGCGUCUGAUUAGCUAGUUGGUAAGGUAACGGCUUACCAAGGCGACGAUCAGUAGCCGGCUUGAGAGAGUGAAUGGCCACAUUGGGACUGAGACACGGCCCAAACUCCUACGGGAGGCAGCAUG
rnacentral:rRNA from 1 species